AUUUCCCGGCUAAGUUGAUCCCCUCAGAAGGCCGUUAACGCAUGCGCACUAAUACGAAACAGUCGCUGGGCAACUGAUGACACGGGCAAUGGCGGCCUUGAUGAAGAAGCUGCGAGCUGUUACUACAACCGAACUGAUCCACGAAAGAUAAAAAAAGGAAAGAGGCCAUCGAUAUCCAUAGACUCUUUAUUACCAGCCACUUUCUGGAAUUCAAUGGAAUUCAAGAUGUUGGAGGAACUGAUACCAAUGUUUGUCAUAGCCUCUUCCGUGUCUGUUUGGCAGUCAACAUCACAUGAUUCAUGCAAGUCAAAAUCAAAAUGAUCGGAUCCAUUAUCAUUCCCAAGAUUCUCAAAAAGCAUUUGAUCUAUGUGACUGAUCAUUACCUGAUUCUGUUGGAGAGGUGUCACAUUGUUAUUAAGGACAGGUCAAAGCCCUCCCUAAUGCUCUUCAAAGGCACACUCUAUGGGAUUUAGAUAAUCAAUUAUUGGUGAAAAAAUAUGGUCAUAUUCAUUUGCCAUAAAAAAUUUGAUCUAAUACACCAUCAACUGGAGGUGUUUUGUCUAAUCAACCCUUAACAUAUUGGCAACCAAUGUUCCUGAGAAGCUUUAAGAUGGUUGCACCAUUAGAAAUUUUAACUUGCCAUGUUAUGUUGUUAAACUUCCUGAUUGACACUCUGUACAUGUGAAAGUAUAACCUUGCCAACAGUAACAUAAGUGCUUCCUUAAAGGAGCUAUUGCUGGAUAAUUUUCCUGUAGAUGCAUCCACAAGAGAUGACAGGACAUCUUCUUUGCAUGCCUUGUGGUAAACAUUGAGAGUGAGUGACUUUGUAAUAUGCCAGAUACCAGGACUUUUGUCAUUUCCAGUGAAUAUGCUCAAAGCCCUAAGGCUCUUAAUAGCAUGAACAGUUUUUUGGAAAAUAUCUGAGCUUGUCAACAUUAAUGAAAAAAUUCAUUUCACCUUUCAACUUAGUGCUUGAAGUUCUUCAAUAUUCGCUUUUUCUUUUGGC